rnacentral:rRNA from 1 species
AGGGAAUCUUCCACAAUGGACGCAAGUCUGAUGGAGCAACGCCGCGUGAGUGAAGAAGGUCUUCGGAUCGUAAAGCUCUGUUGUUGGUGAAGAAGGAUAGAGGCAGUAACUGGUCUUUAUUUGACGGUAAUCAACCAGAAAGUCACGGCUAACUACGUGCCAGCAGCCGCGGUAAUACGUAGUGGCAAGCGUUGUCCGGAUUUAUUGGGCGUAAAGCGAGCGCAGGCGGAAUGAUAAGUCUGAUGUGAAAGCCCACGGCUCAACCGUGGAACUGCAUCGGAAACUGUCAUUCUUGAGUGCAGAAGAGGAGAGUGGAACUCCAUGUGUAGCGGUGGAAUGCGUAGAUAUAUGGAAGAACACCAGUGGCGAAGGCGGCUCUCUGGUCUGCAACUGACGCUGAGGCUCGAAAGCAUGGGUAGCGAACAGGAUUAGAU